GAUGAACGCUGGCGGCGUGCCUAAUACAUGCAAGUCGAGCGAACAGAUGAGAAGCUUGCUUCUCUGAUGUUAGCGGCGGACGGGUGAGUAACACGUGGGUAACCUACCUAUAAGACUGGGAUAACUCCGGGAAACCGGGGCUAAUACCGGAUAAUAUUUUGAACCGCAUGGUUCAAUAGUGAAAGACGGUUUCGGCUGUCACUUAUAGAUGGACCCGCGCCGUAUUAGCUAGUUGGUAAGGUAACGGCUUACCAAGGCGACGAUACGUAGCCGACCUGAGAGGGUGAUCGGCCACACUGGAACUGAGACACGGUCCAGACUCCUACGGGAGGCAGCAGUAGGGAAUCUUCCGCAAUGGGCGAAAGCCUGACGGAGCAACGCCGCGUGAGUGAUGAAGGUCUUCGGAUCGU
rnacentral:rRNA from 1 species